rnacentral:lncRNA from 1 species
GUUUGAUCUCCAGCACCACAUAAAAAGACUAAACAAAGGUAUUGUGUCCUUGUACAACUAAAAAUAUUAAAAAUACAAACAAAACCUUAGUAAUGUGCUUCUCAUUUUUUACAGAAGUCAAGUGGUUGAGAGACUCUGUGAAUGCAAAGGAGAUAGUCAGUGUGCGGAAAACCUUAACUGGACUCCAGAGCAUAUUUUGAAGGAAAAAACUCCUCCAGGAGUAACACCAUGUGAAAGUCCUGUGUGUGGAGAAGUGACCAUUGGUCAUUCAUCCCUAAAGGUGCCCCUGAGAGGUCCCACUGAACACGAACCAUGUGAGCAUCAGGAAUAUGGAGAGAGGCCAUAUAAUCAGAAGGAGUGUGGGAAAUCCUUCAGCUAUUCUCAGUGUUUGCAGACUCAUGAAAGGACUCACAGUGGAGAGAGACCCUGUGACAAAAAAUGUGAUGAAGCCUUUAGGUGUUCCAGUCCUGUUGGAAAUCAUAAAAGGACUCACACUGGCGAGAAGCCCUAUAAAUGUAAGCAAUGUGGGAAAACCUUCGCUCGUUCUAGUAUCCUUGUAGAGCAUGAAAGAAUUCACACUGGAGAGAAACCAUUUGUGUGUAAGAGUUGCGGCAAAAGAUUUACUCGUUCUAGUUCCCUUUACACACAUGAAAGAAUUCACACUGGAGAGAAACCCUUUGUUUGUAAGCAAUGCAGUAAAGCCUUCUGUGAUCAGAGUUCCCUUCGAUACCAUGAAAGAAUUCACAGGGGAGAGAAGCCAUAUGUAUGUAAGCAAUGUGGGAAAGCCUUUGCUUGUUCUGGUACCUUUCGAAAACAUGAAAGAAUUCACGAAGAAGAGAAACCCUAUAAAUGUCUGCACUGUGUGAAAGCCUUCCGUUCUGACAGUGCCUUUCGAAAACAUAAGAGAGUGCAUACUGGAGAGAAACUCUAUGUAUGUCCGCAUUGUGGUAAAGGCUUUGUUUAUUCCGUUUCUUUUAAGUACCAUGUAAAGACGCACAAUGGAGAGAGAGAAAAGAAACCCUAUGAAUGCAAGCAGUGUGGUAAAACGUUCUAUAGUGCCAGUUACCUGAAAGAACAUGAGAACAUUCACAGUGGAGAGAAACCCUAUGAAUGCAAGCAGUGUGGUAAAGCCUUCCAUAAUUCCGCUUCCCUCCGAAAACAUAACAAAGUGCACACUGGAGAAAAGCCACAUGUAUGUGAGCAAUGUGGGAAAACCUUUGCUUCUUCUAGUUCCUUUCGGAGACAUAACAAAGUUCACACUGGAGAAAAACCACAUGUAUGUGAGCAGUGUGGGAGAGCCUUUGCUUGUUCUAGUUCCUUUCGGAGACAUAACAAAGUUCACACUGGAGAAAAACCACAUGUAUGUGAGCAGUGUGGGAGAGCCUUUGCUUGUUCUGAUUCCUUUCGGAGACAUAAAAGAACUCACACAGGAGAGAAACCCUAUAGAUGUAUGCACUGUGGAAAAGCCUUCAGUUCUGACAGUGCCUUUAGAAGACAUAAAAGAAAAAAAAUGCAUACUGAAGAGAAACCAUAUUUUGACAGCAUUGCAGCAGAGCCUUCAUUUAUCCCUCUUCAUUUAAAUGCCUCGUAAGAACGCACAAUGGAGAGAAACCUUAUGUAUAUGAGCAAUGUGGGAAAACCUUCCUUAUUUUGAAUCAUUUUAUAGCACAUGAACAAGCUCAUAGGGGCAAAUCCUAUGUGUGUAAGCAGUGUGAGAAAAUCUUGUUUCCCAGUUCCCUUCAAAUACAUGAAAGAUUAUACACUGGAGAGAGACCCUACGUUUGUGAGCAGUGUGGGAAAGCAUUCCGUUGUUCCACUGCCCUGAGAACCCAUAAAAAAACGCACAGUGCAGCGAACCUGUACGAACUCAAGCAGUGUGGUAAAGCAUUUGGAGAUCCCAGUUCCCUGAAAACAUGAAAAAAUUCACAGUGGAGAGAAACCCUAUGUAUAAAAGUCUCCAUUUGGCUCACACAUGUGGAUGCACACUGAAUCAAACCUUGUCAUUGUGAAGAAAAAAAAUAAAACCCAAGAAAGUUAUUAGUUGAAACACAGUUUCAAUUAAUGAAAAAUUGUCAUGUAGUGCAAUCUUAUGAGUAAUAUGAAGAACUCGAUGCAAAGUAAUUUGUGUAAAAUACUCCAGAAAAUACGCAAUCUGAAGGAAUUACUACAAGUUAUAAUAAAGAUAUUGUGUUUAUCAGUGGCUCAUUCUUGUUGUGGGGGAGUAAUGGGAGUUGCAUCCAAGGGCACUGUACUACUGAGCUACAUCCCCAGCCCUUUGUUCAGGCAAUACAGAGGGUGGAGCAUCAUACUCCAUACAACCCCACCUACAACUGCUGAGAAUAUUUUGAACUCCAAUGGAAAGAAUUCUUUAAAUUUUCAUCAAGGUUUUAAAAUUUUUUUUUUAAUUCUUUUUCUCUGUUUAAUUAUUACCUUGAUAGUACAUGGACAUUUAUACAGUUUAAAAUUUUUCUGUUCUUCUAGUAUUUUUGAAGCCAGUUUUUUUUUGUUUUGUUUUUUUUUUUUCACGGAUUAGGUUUUUUGUUAAACAGGAUGCUUGAUUAGUAUAUUUUAGUAUUGUUUUGUAUUUAUUUUUAAUUUUUAAAGUUUUUUACUUUACAUAUUUUUUUUCUUCUACCUGUUUCCCUUGAUUCUCUUCUGCUAGCAGCCAAUCUCUAUUCUCUUUCACACUUCCUUUAAUUUUUUACUUCUCUCCUCCCUCAUAAUCUCACAAGCUAUCACUUCUGUUUUCUCUGUCCACCAUUUGAAAGUAUAAACCCUUUUGCAAGCUGGUUGUUAUUAUUGUAGGCAAUAACUGGUCAUAUCAUUUCUGUUUAUUAUGAUAAUUAACUUUGUAGACAUCAUAGUAGAAAUAUUUGGUUUAAUGCUAUAUAUUGUUUGUAUUGGUUGUUGUUAAUUAUUUGUCUACCCCUUGAGGUACGUUAAACCUUCAGAGACACUGUAAGUCCACAAGAUAGAAACUCUGCUGCCUCAGAUCCAUAUUGUUAGAUGGGUAGACAUACAAACAACAUGAAAAAUCAUCACCUCAAGCAAACCAAGAUACUUCAAUAACAGAAUCCAUUGACACCACAGUGGAAGAAAUGUUAGGGAAGGAGUGAAUAUCAGAGAAAAUACAGAAAGUAAAAGGUCACUUCAAUAGAGAGAGGCAGAGAAGAUUGGGGGGGGGAGAACUCUUUGAAAUGAAAGAAUCAAUAAACCAAAUUAAACAUUCAAUGGAAAGCAUCACCAAUAGACGAGAUCACUUGGAAGACAAAACCUCAGGUAAUGAAGACAAAAUAUAUAACCUUAAAAAUAAAGUCAACCAUAGUGAGAAGAUGUUAAAAUAUAAACAGAACUUUCAAGAACUAUGGGUUAACAUGAGAAGACUGAACUUAAAAAUUUUUCUCAUCAGGAUAGAUGAAGAUGUGGAGAUACAAAUCAAAGGAAUGCACAAUCUUUUCAAUGAAAUAAUAGAAAAUUUCCCAAACCUAAAGAAUGAAAUGGAAAAUCAAAUACAAGAGGCAUACAGGAUCCCAAAUGCACAAAAUUAAAACAGACCCAUACCAAGGCACACUAUAAUGGAAAUGCCUAACAUACAGAAUAAGGAUAGAAUUUUAAAGCUGAAAGAGAAAACUAUCAGAUUACUUAUAGGAGGAAACCAAUUCAGAUCUCAGGUGAUUUCUCAACCCAGAUCCUCAAAGCUAGGAGUUCCUGGAAUAACAUACCAAACUCAAAGAAAAUGGGUGCCAACCAAGAACCCAAAUCCAGCAAAAUUAAGCUUCAGAUUUGAAGAUGAAAUAAAAACUUUCCAUGAUAAACAAAAGAAAAGGUAUUUGAAACUAGAAAGCCUGCACUACAGAACAUUCUUACCAAAAUAUACCAUAAAGAUGAAAUGAGAAAAGUGAAAACCAGCUUGUUUUUGUAGGAACUACACUAAAAGAAUAGUCAAAUGAGAAACUAAUGCAAGUCAAAAACUAGAAAUAGGUGCUAAAGUUGUGGCUCAGUGGUAGAAUGCUUGCCCCACAUGCGUGGGGCACUGGGUUUGAUCCUCAGCACCACAUAAAGGUAUUGUGUUCAUCUACUACUAAAUUUUUUUUUUUUAGAGAAUUUUUAAAAAUAUUUUUUAGUUUUCGGCGGACACAACUUCUUUGUUUGUAUGUGGUGCUGAGGAUCGAACCCGGGCCGCACGCAUGCUAGGCGAGCUCGAUACCGCUUGAGCCACAUCCCCAGCCCCCUACUAAAAAAAUUUUAAAAUGUUAAUCAGAAGGGACAAGGAUAUUCCAUACUGCUUAAGGGAAUUACCCAUCAAUAAGAUAACAGUCAUAAAUAUUUAUGCCCCAAACAAUGGAGCAUCUACACACAUCAGUCAAACCCUUCUCAAUUUCAAGAAUCAAAUAGACCACAAUUCAAUAAUACUGGGUAACUUUUCUGUGACCACUGGAUAGAUGCUCCAAACAAAAACUAAAGCCAAAGAACUAAAAAAUACAAUUGACAAUGUGGACUUGGACUGAAUACACUUUCUUAGCCAAUGGAGCCUUGUGUAAUAUAGACCACAUAUGUUCACAUACAAUUGUAAUAUUAAUAUAUUUUUAGCAACUGAAGGAUUAUUUAUAUAGCUCUCUUUCCAUUUAUAUUUUUUGUGUUCUUGCUUUUUUCUUGAUUAGAUUUGUUUAUCAAACUUAAGGUGUAUUUCUUAUUU